rnacentral:rRNA from 1 species
GACGAACGCUGGCGGCGUGCUUAACACAUGCAAGUCGAACGGAAAGGCCCUGCUUUUGUGGGGUGCUCGAGUGGCGAACGGGUGAGUAACACGUGAGUAACCUGCCCUUGACUUUGGGAUAACUUCAGGAAACUGGGGCUAAUACCGGAUAGGAGCUCCUGCUGCAUGGUGGGGGUUGGAAAGUUUCGGCGGUUGGGGAUGGACUCGCGGCUUAUCAGCUUGUUGGUGGGGUAGUGGCUUACCAAGGCUUUGACGGGUAGCCGGCCUGUGAGGGUGACCGGGCACCUGGGGACUGAGAUACGGACCAGAGUCCUACGUGAGGCAGCAGUGGGGAAUAUUGCACAAUGGGAGGAAGUCUGAUGCAGCAACGCUGGGUGUGGGAUGACGGCCUUCGGGUUGUGAACCGCUUUCGCUUGUGACGAAGCGUGAGUGACGGUAAUGGGUAAAGAAGCACCGGCUAACUACGUG